UUCCAAAGUGCCUCACGUGCACAUAUGAAUAAAUAUAUGCAGUCAUCUGCAAGCAUCUAUAACAUAGCAGUUUACAAAAUCCUCCACGAGAUGAUAAUUUACAACAUAGAUUAAUAAAAUAUAUCACUCAGCAAAGUUAGGAAACAGUACAAUCCAGUUCACACAAACAGAACAUUUAAACUAGUGAAGUUGUUAUUCAAGUUCUUGCCAUCGGCCCUCCUGAUGGAAACUAUCAUGCCGUGCGAAUUUUGAUGGGCAGCACCAAGUAGCCUGGUACGCAAUCAUACCUAGCAUAUUUACAAGACCAUUAGAUAUUUGUAGAUAUGCAUAGAUUGUAAAAUAUGAGAAUUAUCAAAGUAAAAAUGAAUAACUCAUGCUCUCCAAAAUUCUUAAAUCUUGCAGUGCUACAAACGAGAAUAACAUAGUAUCCACUACAUAUAUAAGUUUCAUGUAGAUCCAUAUUAAUUAAGACAACCAAGUUGUGGGUAAAAAAUUUAAAUGUUACAUACUUGUGCAUAUCAUCCAAACAAGAAAAAGAAAAAAAAAACUGGUCUAACAAAGGGGGACAAUACAUACAACAGUGCACAAGAUUCGUUCAAUUAUCAUAUGUCCAGUGAUCCUUGAUGAUAAUAAAAGAAGGGAUAGUUAUGUGUUGAGAAAACAAACAUCUACAUACUUCUACAGUUGUGUCCAGUAAUACAUUAUUUUUCCAGCCUUGUAAGUAGGCAUGAAUCAACUUGUCAAUAUUGACAGAAUGGCACCUUUGGGUACCAACAAUUUGCAUAAAUGAGGUUAACCAACCCCAGAACCUACCCUAUUAGAGCAUUAAGAAAUUGGAUAUACCCUGAAUAACAAUAUCCACAUAUUGUUAACACUUGACAGUUGGAAACUUAGAACAAAAAAAGGUAUAUAGUGAAAAUAAUAAAACCAAAAGGCUAUGAAGGAGAUAGUAAUGGACCUAUCUAAGAAUGUGGACAUUUUGCCCAAGGAUACAUUUCACUUGUAACGCUAAGAGAUCAUCAACAAUUAUCAAGCGUACAGCUGAAGAAUUAGUAUUUGACAGUAACGAUGAUAAAAAAAUAAGUGGCUAUGCAAAAUUACCACCAGCAGUGAGGUAACGCGAUGGUGUUGAGAAAAUUGCGUACAAAAUCUGGGUGUCCAUGAGAUAGACCUGGGCAAAGCAUUAGCAUACUCUUAAACAACUUUUGGCAGAGAAUUAGGAUUGACACGUACAAGAAUUUCAUUGGAGCCCAAAGUCAAUGAUAACACUAAUAUUAUUAUUUGCUACAAACCAAGAUCAAAUAAGAACACCAACAUUUUCAAAGCUGUAGAUUGUUAC
rnacentral:lncRNA from 1 species